rnacentral:lncRNA from 1 species
CAUUCUGUUAGUGUAAUUAAUCAAAAUGGUUGGUAACAGCAUAGACAUGAAAAAAAGUACGCUCUAUUUUUUUUCACUAAAUGUCUUGAAAUUUCUUUUCUCUACACUGUCGUUCAAGAAACGAGGCGUUUUAAAUGUAAAGAUUACCUUGCAUUUUUGAAAUCAACACUGACUGAUUCAAUAUUCAUAGGGAGAAUAAUUUAACGACUGAUUUAAGUAGCGGUAACAGGAUAGACAUGAACCUCCUGUACGCUGAUUGAAUUUAGUUUGUAGAUAAUCUGUUACAUACAAUGAUAAAGAAGCUACGAUUUUUCGUUAGAAUUAUAAUUAACGUUCUUAGAAAGUCCCUUUUGCAGAUAUCAAGGCGAUCAGAAAAUCAGAAAAAAAUCAUUUGAAAUGUGUUUUUCUGACAAUGUACGCACACAAAUACCCCCAAAAUCGGCC